GAUCUCAAAUCAGGUAGGACUACCCGCUGAACUUAAGCAUAUCAAUAAGCGGAGGAAAAGAAACUAACAAGGAUUCCCCUAGUAACGGCGAGUGAAGCGGGAAGAGCUCAAAUUUAAAAUCUGGCAGUGUAUUCUGUCCGAGUUGUAGUCUAGAGAAGCAUCAUCCGUGCUGGACCAUGUACAAGUCUCUUGGAACAGAGCGUCAUAGAGGGUGAGAAUCCCGUCCUUGACAUGGACUCCCAGUACUUUGUGUUGUGCUCUCAACGAGUCGAGUUGUUUGGGAAUGCAGCUCAAAAUGGGUGGUAAAUUCCAUCUAAAGCUAAAUAUUGGCGAGAGACCGAUAGCGAACAAGUACCGUGAGGGAAAGAUGAAAAGCACUUUGGAGAGAGAGUUAAACAGUACGUGAAAUUGUUGAAAUGGAAACGCUUGAAGUCAG
rnacentral:rRNA from 1 species